CCACGUGCGCUCCUUCUUCUUCUUCUGUUUGUCCUUCAUCCUUCUCCCCGGCGGCGGCGGCAGCUCCACGCGGGACCUCCGGGCUGGGCGGGCUGGGGCGGUGGCGCGGGGCUGGGGCGGCGGCGGCGGUGGGGGGGGCGCGUGGCAGCGGCGGCGCGCGAGGUCUCGGGUGCGGCCGGGGAGAAGGGGCGGGCACGCGGGGACCGGCUGGCGCGAGAGCGGCGGUGGGGGAGGGGCGGCGGCGGCUCCACGCGCCCGCGCUGCGUCAGUCGCCCACGGCGGCAGCGGCGGCUGCCCCGCGAUCGCUAAGGAAUGCGGCGGCUCCGCAUAACCACGGGGUCAGAGGUCACGGCUCCGGCCUCCGCUUUCCCGCUCUGCUGAGGGACUGAGACAGGACCGACGGCGGGGCGGGAGGGCGAGACGCGGCUUUCCCUUCGGCGCCCGGGUGCGUGCGUGUCUGCCGUGGGUGUGUGUGAGUGUGUGUGAAGAGUGAGGAGGGGGAGUGUGGGGUUUUUUUUUUUUGAACAAAAACAAACCGAAAGGGCGCCUGGGAGUCGUAGUCCCAACGGCCUCUCUGGCCUCCCCCGCUCCGGAAGAAUAUGGCCGCGUGAAGCGCGUGGACCACACUUCCCGGCGUGCCCGGCGGCCCCCUUCCGCUCUCCCUCUCGCGUCCUCCGCCUAGCACCGACCUCAGCUAGGAACGGGGACGGGUCGCUGUUCGGGGAAGGGGCUGGGUGGAGUCUCGCGAGGUGCGAGAACUGGCUGGGGGCCUGCGGGAUUCUGGGAGGCGAUGCUGGGAAGGGGCGGUGGCUGGGCUCCCCCGGCCACCCUUAACCCCUUCGGUGCUUUUUGCUUCAGGACCUCCUGGCGGGUGCGGGUGGGGAGUGAGGAUGGGGAGCUCGACUCGCAGUUCCCACUUCGUGCUUCUCCUCGCCUAAACGGUUCUUACCUACACUUCUCGUAGGGGACGAGAGGCAGGACUUUCCCUUUUGGUCACCUCUAAAUGACUCACUGCCACAUAAUAAUGAGACAAAAAGACCCUCAUACCAGUAAAACGGUUAUUCCACGGCUGAUGGACUUAGACGGUUCUUCAUUUCUUCCUGUGCUUUCAGGCCGCUGUGUAUUUGCAGAGCCUGCACCAGCAGCCUAGAGCGUUCUUAGGAACUUGGUGAUAUGUUGACGGGUCGUGUAAAGAACUUGGACUCUGGGGCCAUACUGACCAGAAUGCACCUGAGGGCGUUUUUAGAGGCAGUACCCUGGAGAGAAUUCAGGCCCUGGAGUCCAGCGGACCUAGACUGGAAUCUUGGCUGAGUCACUCCCUGGCUGUCCACUCAACCUCUCUGAGCCUCAGUUUUCUGAUCUGCAUUUGUCUUGUAUUUCAUGGCAUUAUUGGAAUUAAAAUUAACAUACAAUUCUUGACAGAUUGGAAGAGGAUGUGAAGGGAGAUCUUGACAUUAUCAGGUCCGUAUGAUAUGGCGCCUGGCAUAGAGCAAAUGUUUAAUAAAUGGUAGCUGUUAUUACCAGCUGAGAAACAAUAGGCAAUAUACUUAGCCUCUCUGAGCCUUAGUUUUAGAACCUGAAAUGAAAUUCAGAGCGCCCAGCACAUAGGUUUUCUGUAACUAUAGGUUCAGUCGUUGUCCAGAAACAUUUCUAGAGUCCGUCCGGAGUUGGAUUGAUGCCAGCUCUUAAAAACUAUGAAGGCAGGAUCAGUGGCCACAUUUAAACGGUUUCCCUGGGUGAGGAAACACACUCUCCACUCCCUAAUGUUAACACGUAGCGAGAGCCAGUAUUGAUAGGAGACCAUUAUGGUGUAGCCCAAACUCUAACGCCAAGGGGUUCAGUGUUUUCUGCUUCUAAUACUGGUCACAGAAAACUUGUGAGUCCGGUAAGCAAAAUCCUACAAAGGGAAAAGACUGCAAGUUAGAAUAAGACACCUCUUAAAAAUCUCUCUAGCUUUACCCUGAGAGAAAGGAGGAACUACUGUCCCUCAAAAAACUGUUUGCCUUGAUUUUUUACAAAGGAUUUUUAACUUCUUUUUUUUCAAUCUACGGCUGAUACAGUACUCUUUGGCAAGUCAUUUGGCUUCUUUCCGAUGUCUUCUGAAGUAGCUUUACUGCCCUCUGACCUACAGGGAAUAACUGAAAUUUACAUGUUUAAUACAGGUACUGUGGUAGACAGAAUAAUGUCUUCCCCGCUUGCCCAAAACUGUCCAAGUCCUAGUCCCUGGAACCUGUGAAUAUGUUGCUUUUUUAUUUAUUUAUUUAUUUAUUUUUUGAGACAGAGUCUCGCUGUGUUACCCAGGCUGGAGUGCAGUGGCGUGAUCUUGGCUAACUGCAACCUCCGCCUCCUGGGUUCAUGCGAUCCUCCUGCCUCAGCCUCCCAAGUAGCUGAGAUUACAGGCAUGCGCUACCAUGCCCAGCUAAUUUUUGUAUCUUUAGUAGUGACUGGGUUUCUCCAUGUUGGCCAGGCUGGUCUUGAACUCCUGACCUCAGGUGAUCCACCCAUCUCGGCCUCCCAAAGUGCUGGGAUUACCAGCCAGCAUUCUUUGGCAAAAGAUAUUUUGCCAAUGGAAAUAAAGCCCUUAAAAUUAGAUGAUUCCGUAUUAUAUGGGUGAGCCCAGUGUAAUCACAUGAACCCUUAAAAGCACAAAAGGGAGGCAAAAGAGAUGUUUUGGAGAGAUGAGGCAGAGGAAUUAAAUUCAAAGUAUGAGAGGAAUUCAACCCACUGUUACUGGCUUUGAAAGUGGCCACAAGCCAGGGAAUCCAGGCAGCCUCCAAAAGCUCAGAGGAAGUCCUGCCAAGAGCCAGCAAGGAAAUGGGGACUUCAGUCCUACAACCUCACAGAGCUGAAUUCUGACAAGCUGAAUGAACUUGGGAACAGAUUAUACCCCCUCCCCAACUCUCUAGAAAGGAAUAUAGACACCUUGAUUUCAGCCUCGUGAGACUGGAAGCAGAGAAUCAGCUGAGCCAUGGAAUCCAGACGUCGGGCCCACAAGAAGCGUGAAACAGAAAUGAAUAUUGUUUUAUGACACUAAAUCUGUGGUAACUUCUUACAGCCCCAAAAGAAAGCUAAUACAGGCAUUAUGGAAACACCUUUAUUUCUUUCAGCGAACACUGCCUGACUUCAGCUGGGUCAAACCAUGGGGGAAUCCAGAUUUGAAUAUUUCAAGGUCUCUGCCCUUGCAGAAUCAGACAGAAACAAGUGACAACAUCGUAGUUAAGUGUGAAAACAGUAUGUUCAGAGAACGGUACAGAUAUGUUAGAAAGUUGGCUUUAGUCAUUAAACCUUAAGUAGAUGUGAUUUUUUUAAAGUUAAUGAGAUUCAUGAGUUUAUUUUCUUGUCAGAAGCACCAACAGACAAACCUAUACAUUUUUGGUGUGUGUUUUUCUGUUUUUUAAUCACAGUGCUUUUAUUAUAGAUUAUCUUCAGAAGUUAGUGCAGGUGGCAUGUGGAAGAUAAACAGGACAGACACUCAACCCUGCCUAGUUUGGGGAUGAGUCACUUUUCAAACUGCACAGUUAUAAGCAAAGUGCAUAUUCAAGAACCAAGUUAACAGGCCACCAGCAGACACCCAGGAAUUCCCAAAGGGACACAUAUAUCCCAUAAACUGCACUGCAAGAUAAUAUAUUCUCAUUGGCUCUGCAUGUCAGCAGGCCUGGGUUUGAAUCUCUGCAGUCUUUCUCCAUCCAGUUCUGUGGCCUUGGGCAAGUUAUGAAACCUCUCACUGACUCAGUGCCGUCAUUUGGACAGCAGGGUACAUAGCAAAUUCAAAGAAUGGAACUGAGAUUAAAUGAGAUCUCUGUAAAGUGCCUAGCACAUAGCAGAUACUCACUAAAUACCAGCCCUCUUUGCCUCCAAAAAGUUUUAGUGUCUAAAGUGUAAAAAGUGCCUCAUUGUUUAUACUUUGAGUGAAAGAAACCUUGGAACAGGGUUUGCCCCUGUAACAAAUGUUCUCUCUCAAUAAUAUUAUCCCCGUUUUCACAUGAAGCUGAGAUUCAGAGAGGUCAGAUUACCUCCCUUGGGUCCAGAUGAUUAAAUAAGAUUACAUUUGCUAAAUAAACUUCCAGCAUAGCAGAUGAUCAGUACAUGUAUAGCUCUCCUUGUCCCUCCCACAUUUAAUUUAUUUGUGUGACUUUGGUUUAGUGAUUGUGUUCAUGCUAGCAUCUUUGGUUUCAUCAUCAUAUCCCCAGUGCCUGGCACAGUCUUGGCACAUGGUAGGCACCCAAUCUGUUGAAUAAAUGACCCGAUCUCCGUAAUUACUUUACUGGAGAAACUCUGAAGACUAAUUUCCCUUUGAGCCCUAAACAAUGUUUGGAACCUGCUCAGGGAGAAUCGGGAAAGACCAAGACAGGAUUUCACCCAAAUAUAUCUAUGCAAGUUAUAAAGAUGCUCAUGGAUAGAGAGCAUGACUUCAGCUGGGCGUGGCAGCAUGUGCCUAUAGUCCCAGCUACUCAGGAGGCUGAGGCAGGAGGAUCAUUUGAGCCCAAGAGUUUGAGGCUGCAGUGAGCCAUGGUUGCGCCAUUGCACUCCAGCUUGGGUGACAGAGCAAGACCCUGUAUAGGAGACUUCAUGACCUUAUUAUUGUCAUUAAGUCACAGAAUCUGCCCAUGUGAUGGGCAGCCCUAACUCAUAGCUCACCUUCCAUUCACCAUCGUUUAAAUCCUGCUGUUCAGUCUCCCAGUAGGGAGGAAAACGUGUUUAAAUUACCAAAAUGUCUUUUUCGUUUGUUUGAGACAGGGUCUCUCUGUUGCCUACACUGGAGUGCAAUGGUGCAAUCUCAGCUUAUUGUAGCCUUGACCUCCUGGGCUCAAGUAAUUCUCCCACCUCAGCCUCCCAAAGUGCUGGGAUUGCAGGCAUGAGCCACUGUGCCUGGCAACAAAAUGUCAAUAAUGGUUACCUCUGGGUAACCAUCAGACUAUGGCAACUUUUGAUUGUCUUUUUUUUUUGAGACAAGGUCUCACUCUGUCACCCAGGCUGGAGUGCAGUAGCAUGAUCAUGGCUCACCGCAGUCUUGACCUCCUGGGCUUAAGCCAUCCUCCCACCUCAGACUCCUGAGUAGCUAGGAGUAGGUAGGGCCACAGACACAUCCCACCACCCCGAGCUAAUUUUUUUUUUAAAUUUUUUGUAGAGACAGGGUCUCGCUAUGUUGCCCAGGAUAGUCUCGAACUCCUAACCUCAAGUGAUCCUCCUGCCUCGGCCUCCCAAAGUGCUGGCAUUACAGUUGUGAGCCAUGGACAUAUUACCUUUUGUUUUUGAGAUAAAGUCUUGCUCUGUCAUCCAGGGUGGAGUGCAGUGGCAUGAUCUUGGCUUAUAGCAACCUCUGCCUCCCAGGUUCAAGCAAUCUUCCUACCUCAGUUGGUGGGAUAACAGGCAUGUGCCACAACACCAGGUUAAUUUCUGUAUUUUUAGUAGAGACAGGGUUUCUCCAUGUUUGGCCAGGCUGGUCUCAAACUCCAGACUUCAAGUGAUCUGCCUGCCUCAGCCUCCCAAAGUGCUGGGAUUAUAGGCAUGAGCCACCACGCCCGGCCCAUAUUACACUUUUUAAUUGAAAAAAAUUCUUUUUCAUUUCAACCGCAAAACAUAGAACAUUUAGAUUAAGGUAGUAGCUAUGGGUAAUAUUUUUUCUUUUUUAUAUUUGUAUUUUCAAAACCUAGAAUUAGUAUGUGCUACUUUUAUGAUGGAAAAACAAAUUCCAUUCUUAAUGCAAUAUACCUCAACAAUGUGAAAACAACUUUAAUAAUUAUUAAUAUUUUUAUUUUGCUUAAAAAGAUUUGUGGGACCCCCUAGAAUGGCCUCAAAGGAAGGAUAACCUGAGCUGCUUUUUACCGAAAUCACGGAAAAUGGCAGCUCUCUGAUGCUUUAAGGUUUUCAAGUAUAGAUUUCAGGACCUCAAUAAGGUACCCAUCCCAAUUUUUAAUCUCUCUUAAUAAUGCAGAGAUUUACUCACAUCCACCAUAAUGCUUCUGGCCUCAGUUUAAGCCAUUUCCUCUAUUAUUUCCUCUGUGAAAGAAGGAAAAGAACCUUUAAAAUGUAUUUUAACAUCAAAAUGCUGAGCGGGUGGUGUGCCCAAGUGAUGAGAGCGGUGAAUGGGUUAUUUCUUUGUUUCCCAUGAUUUAUAAUAAAAACAUCAACUUACACCCUACCCUAAAUGACUUUUCUUCCUCUAAUAACUAAAUGUGAAGUUGGGGGCUUAUAUAAAUGGCUUUUCACAGGACUUAACUCUUGAAUUCCAAAACCAUCAUACGAGGUGAAUGAGAAAAGUGGGCCAGUAAAGAAAAGACACUUUCCCAAGAUUGCACAAUUGGUUGUUGCUGGAGUCAACAUUUAAACCCCAAGCUCCUCAUUCCAAGUUCUUUCUAAGGCACUGUGGUAGCCUUAGAAAUGGCCACCUCCUCACAUUCAUAUCCUUUUUUAGUCCCCUCCCACUUUGAUUAGGGCUGAACUCUGUAACUGUGGAAAUGAGCAUAAGUGGCUUCUGGGGCUAGGUCAGAGAAAACAUUGCAGCUCUGCCUUGUUCCAGGUCACAUGCUCUGGGGGAAACUAGCCACCAUGUCAUAAGGACACUCAAGCAGCUUUCUGGAGAGGUCUAUACGACAGUAGCCCCAGACAAACUUUCACAUGACUUCAGCCUUGGCCAACAUCUUGCCUACAACCUCACGAAAGACCCCAAGCCAGAAUCAUCCACAUAAGCUGGAUUCCAGACCCACAGAAACAGCGAGACAUGAUAUGUUGAUUUUUUGUUGUUGUGGUGGUGGUGGUUUUUUUUUUUUUUUUUGGUUUUUGGUUUUUGGUUUUUUAUUUUUUUGAGAUGGAUUCUCACUCUGUCGCCCAGCCUGGAGUGCAGUGGUGUGAUCUCAGCUCACUGCAACCUCUGCCACCCGGGUUCAGGCAAUUCUCCUGCCUCAGCCUCCCAAGUAGCUGGGAUUACAGGUGCCUGCCAUCGGGCCCAGCUAAUUUUUGUAUUUUUAGUAAAGGUGGGGUUUCACCAUGUUGGCCAGGCUGGUCUUGAACUCCUGACCUCAUGAUCCACCUAACUUCAGCCUCCCAAAAUGCUGGGAUUACAGGUGAGGGCCACCGUGCCCAGCCGAAAUGUUGAUUGUUUUAAGUCACUAGAUUUUGAGGUAAUUCGUUUCACAGCAAUUGACAACUAAUAAAGACAGUGUCUCCCCUUCUGAGUGGUGCUUACCUUUUGUGAAGCCUGUUAAAAAGCAAUGGACUCUCUUUCCAGAAAAACUUAUACCUAUUUAUAUGAAAUUCUCUAUAGUGUUCCAAGGUAUUCCUGGCCCCUCUUGAAACCCCAAGAAAUACAACUACAUGUCCCAGUUUAUGGAGUUAAUAGAUGCCAGAGCCAGGAUUCAAACCCAACUACCUCAACUACACAGCUCACAUCCUCUGCCCCUUUGCCGUUCUGCCUUCCUGGAGGCCUGGGUUCAGAACCACUGCUCUAAGUUAAGUUGUCCUUACAUCUUCAUCUUCCUUCUGCAUUCUAUCCCUUUAUUCUUUUUUUUUUUUUUUUAAGAGUGAGCAGCAGCAAGAUUUAUUGUGAAGAGCGAAAGAACAAAGCUUCCACAGCGUGGAAGGGGACCAGAGUGGGUUGCCCUAUCCCUUUAUUCUUGCAGGUCACAUUUCUCUGGACCCAUUUUAAUUGCAAUUCCUGAGUGACCCAUUGUGUAUUAGGUCCCAGCAAAAACACAAAGACAAGCUCACUGACUCCGAGGGCCCCUGGUCUAAUGGGAUCUUAGAGAUGGAAAUAAAUAACUGUACACAUUAUUAAAACCUAUUAUCUUAGGUCCUUUUGGACAAGGAGGCAGCAACAAACUCCGAGAGGGCAGCCUUCACAGAGGAGCUAAUACUUUAGCUGGGCCUUGAAAGCCCAAAGGAAAGAGGGUGGCUCAGGUGAAUUCUGGGUAGAAGUGCCAGUGAGUAUGAUAGGGAGUGGUCUCCAUGGGUCUGUGUGUGAAAGAGCAAGUGUGUUCACUUGGGGACAGGCCAGCAGUCCAGAGGGGCAGGAGCAGGAGACAAAGCCAGAAAGGUGGGCUGGGCAGAUCCCAAGCAAAGUCUUGACCACCUCCUGUAACAACCAGCUCAAUAGAGCUAUGAUCUGAGCUCAUAUAUUGGCUCUUACCCAACCCUGUGGCCCCAGACCCAACAGCAGAGGCCCUGACACAGGUGUUUGUCAACGUUUUCUGAAUGAAUUCAUUCAAGCAGAACUGGGUGCUAAGACUGGUCUGCAGUUGGGGCAGGGAAAGCAAGACAGGGUUGCAGAGUCACCCUUGAUGUCUCCUUGAAUGUCAUUUCUUUGGCAAGGUUUUGCCUGAUUUCCUACAUUCAUUAAGCCGUCCAUCCUCCCAUACCACUCAAUGCGUUCUUCAACAUAUAAUGAAAAAUCUAAUUCACUCUUGACAUUAAUGAUGACUUCAAUGUCUACUCCAAAUUAGACAGUCAGCCAGAUGAUGUAAGGGACUGCUUGCUUCUUCACUGCUCUGCUCUCCAUCCUAGAGGAAAGACUCCUCUAUCCCAGAAAACAACAGUAAUACAGCAUGGGGCACCUUCUUCCAUUGGCACUGAUAGCCUCUUACUGGGAUGCCAGCCCUGUGCUGAGCCCUGGGGACUUACAGCCUAGAUAGACACAGUUCCUGUGUUUACACAGAUGGAUUACAAAUGAUGGCAAGCCAACGUAGUAGGUGCCCUAGCAGAUAGAAGCCUGGGGUGCUGUUAGAGUUGACAGAAGGGGAUGUCUGAAAGCUGACACCAGGUAGGGGAGAAAUUAGUUCCAAACUCAACAAUUAUAGUCACUUUGGGUGCAAAAUAAGCAUUCAAAAAUGAAUAACUUUUAAUGUACUACUAAUAAUUCCAUUAGAAAAUGGUGCGAUGAGGGCCAGGCACAGUGGCUCAUGCCUGUAAUCCUAGCACUUUGGGAGACCAAGGUGGUAGGGUUGCUUGAGGCCAGGCAUUCAAGACCAGCCUGGGCAACAUAGUGAGACCGUGUCUCAAAAAAAAUAAGAAGAAAAAAAGAAGGAGAAGGAGGAAGAGGAAGAAGAAUAGGGAAAAGAAGAACAAGAAGAAAAGAGGAAGAGGAAGAAGGAGAAGGAGAAGAAAAUAAUAAUAAUAAUGGUGAGAUGGCUGGGCACAGUGGUUUGCACCUGCAAUCUCAGCAUUUUGGGAGGCUGAGGCAAGGGUAUAAUUUCAGCCCAGGAGUUCAAGACCAGCCUGCACAAUAUAACAAGACUUCAUCUAUACUAAAAAUAAAAUAAAUUAGCUGGGUAUGGUGAUGCACACCUGUAGUCCCAGCUACUUGGGAGGCUGGGGCAGGAGAGCUGCUUGAGCCUAGGAGUUCAACAUUGCAGGGACCUCUGAUCAUGCCAUUGCACUCCAGUCUGGGCAACAGAGUGAGACAUGUCUCAAAAACAGGAAAUAGGUUGGGAGAAAAAACCAAAAUGGGUUGGGAGAAAAAAAAAUGGUGGGAAAAAAAGGAUUCCAUUCACAAGAGCAAUUAAAAUAUUACAUCAUCUGGGCUGGGCACAGUGGCUCACACUUGUAAACCCAGCACUUUGGGAGGCUGAGGCGGGAGGAUCACUUGAGGUCAGGAGUUUGAGACCAGCCUGACCAACAUGGUGAAACCAGUCUCUACUAAAAAUACAAAAAUUAGCCAGGCAUGGUGGCGCAUGCCUCUAAUUCCGGCUACUUGGGAGGCUGAGGCAGGAGAAUUGCUUGAACCUUGGAGGUGGAAGUUGCAGUGAGCCAAGAUGGUGUCACUGCACUCCAGCCUGGGUGACAGAGUGAGACUCCGUCUCAAAAAAGAAUAAUAAUAAUAAUAGUAAUAGAUAAAAAAAAUUACACCAUCUGGAAAUAAAGUUAACAAAAAUGUACUGGUCUUAUAAAAAGAAAACUAUAAAACUCUACUGAAGAGCAUAACAUCUUGGACCAGUGGAAAUCAGAGCUUUCCUUAGAGUGGAAGGUCCUAUAACGUGGAUAUUAAUUAUCCCAAAAUCAUCCCACCAAGUAAAUGUCAUCCCAAUGAAGAUCCCAGUGAGAUUUUAUUGUCAAAACAAUCCUAAAAUUCAACUGGAAAAAUAGGUGCAUCAUUUUCAUAAAAAAAAAGACCUAACAUUUACUGACCACUCACCAUGUGCCAGGUGCCAUCCUGAGGACUUGCUAUGCAUCGUCUCAUCACAUCUUCACAAACACACUGUGAGGUAGAUACUGUUAUUGUUAACAUUAUACAGAUGAGGAAGCAGAAGUUCAGAGAGCAAAAAAAUAACUUGUUCAAGGUAACACAGCUAGUUAGCGGCUAACCUGGGAUUAAAGCUCAGGCGGGCUGACCUCAAGGUCCAUGAAUUUUACCACUUUGCUCUACUGCCAGGAAAACUUUGAAGAAGAUUAACGAGCUGGGACUUGUUCUACCAGAUAUUAAAAUGCAUUAGAUAGCUACAACAGCUAAAACAGCAAUUUCAACAAAGAAAUACAGUCCUAUUAAACCAAACAGAGUAUAGAAACAGAGCCAGGUGUAUGAGGAAUUGUAGUGUAUGAUAAAGGUGACAUUUCCAACUGGUGGAGAAAAAGAAGUCAAUAAACAGAAUGGGACUAGCCACAGACUAGCCACUUGGAGAAAAAUUAAGCUAGAGCUCCACCUCUCUCAUUAAAUCUAAAUAAAUUCCACCUAGAUCAAAAAUUUACAUGUGAUAAAAGAAACAAUAAAAGUAUUGAAAGAAACAAAUGGAUAUUUUUAUAAUCCUGGAACUAUUAAUCUUUUAACUAUAUUUUAAUAAUUAGGCAGUUUUCCUAAGCACAAUAUGGAAGUUAAAAAAUCCUUGGGGGCCGGGCGCGGUGGCUCAUGCCUGUAAUCCCAGCACUUUGUGACGCUGAGGCAGGCAGAUCACUUGAGGUCAGGAGUUGGAGACCAGCCUGGACAACAUGGUGAAACCCCGUCUCUACUAAAAUUACAAAAAUUAGCCCGGCAUGGUGGCACAUGCCUGUAGUCUCAGCUACUUGAGAGGCUGAGGCAGGAGAAUCGCUUGAACCCGGGAGACAGAGUUUGCAGUAAGCCGAGAUUGCGCCGUUGCACUCCAGCCUGGGUGACAGAGGGAGACUCCGUCUCAAAAAAAAAAAACAAAAAACAAAAAAAAAACAGGCCUAAACAUGCUAUUAACAAAAGAAGAAAUACAAAUGGAAAUAAAUACUUGAAAAGAUUUUCAGCCUCAUUAGGAAUGGAACUACAGAUUAAAACAAGAUUGAGAUAUUUUUCAAUAGAUCAGAGUGGCAAAGGUUAAAAAGAUUGGCAGAAUUCAGCAAAGAUGGAGGGAAACAGACACAACUCAUGCACUGUUGAUGGGAGUGCAAAUUCAUACAAUUGAUUUGGGAGGCAGGUUAGCAAUAUGUAACAAAAUCAUACUUGCUCUGGGUGUAUCAGGAUUUGAACACAAGUCUGGCUAACACAAGAAAAUUAUAGGCCAACAGUGGUGGCUCACGCCUGUAAUCUCAGCACUUUGGGAGGCUGAGGUGAGAGGACUGCUUGAGCCCAGGAGUUCAAGACCAUCCUGGGCAACACAGUGAGACCCUGUCUCUUUAUAAAAAAUAACAAUUUAAAAGAUUUUAGCCGGCCAUGGUGGCUCACGCCUGUGAUCCUAGCACUUUGGGAGGCUGAGGCGGGUGGAUCACCUGAGGUAGACCAGCCUGACCAACAUGGAGAAACCCCGUCUCUACUAAAAGUACAAAAUUAGCUGGGUGUGGUGGCGCAUGCCUGUAAUCCCAGCUACUUGGGAAGCUGAGGCAGGAGAAUCACUUGAACACGGGAGGCGGAAGUUGCGGUGAGCCAAGAUCACUGUAUUGCACUCCAGCCUGGGCAACAAGAGCAAAACUCCAUCUCAAAAAAAAAAAAAAAAAAAUUAAUAAAAUUAUAAUGGGAAAACCUUUUGAUUUGGUAAUUCAUGUACAGUGAUUUAUUCCAGGAGGAAAUUAAACAAGCGAACAGUGAUCUUUGUCCAAGGUUGCUUAAUAUAGCAUUGUAUAAAAUGGUAAAAAUCUGGAAGUAGCUUCAAUGACCAUCAAUAGUGUUAAAUAAAUUCUGGUACAAUAUAAUAUAAUAUAAUGCAAGGUACUGAUUUAAAACAAUAAUAUAAAUUUAAAUUAACUGGAUAUAUGUCCACAACAUAUCAUUGAGUGAAAAUAGGACAGGUGAGUAGAAUAAAUUUACAUAUACCAUGAUGGUCAAACUAAAAGAGUUUGCACAAAGAGGUAUCCAAAAGAUAAUCAUUGGCUCUGGGUAACGGAGUUUCCAGUGAUUUGUAAUUACUUUCUUAAAAUGUUUUUGUAUUGUUUGAAUUUUUUACCAUUAGAAGAUGUAACUUUUAUAAUCAAAAUAUUCAGUACCAGCCUAGGCAACAUGGCAAAACCAUGUUUCUUUUUUUUUUCCCGAGACAGUCUUGCUCUGUCACCCAGGCUGGAGUGCAGUGACGUGAUCUCAGCUCACUGCAACCUCUGCCUCCCAGGUUCAAGCAAUUCUCCUGCCUUAGCCUCCCAAGCAGCUGGGAUUACAGGCAUGCGCCACCAUGCUCGGCUAAUUUUUGUAUUUCUAGUAGAGACAGAGUUUCACCCUGUUGGCCAGGCUGGUCUCAAACUCCUGACCUUGUGAUCCACUCCCCUCAGCCUCCCAAAGUGCUGGGAUUACAGGCGUGAGCCACCGCGCCCCACCUGCAAAACCAUGUUUCUACACAAAAUACAAAAAAUUAGCCGGGCAUGGUGGUGCACGCCUGUACUCCCGGCUACUUGGGAGGCCCAGGUGGAAGGAUCACUUGAACCAGGGAGGUGGAUGUUGCACUGAACUAAGAUGGUGCCACCACACUUCAGCCUGUGAAACAGGGCAAGACCCUGUCUCAAAAAUAAACAAACAAACAAAAAAUUUCAAUAGAGCUCACUGCAUUUUGGUUUUAAAAUAGCACUUAACUGAACAUCUAUUACAUAGCCUACAAAGUCUAUAUUCUUAUUUAUUCCCUACAUCAACCCUACAUAGGAGGUCUUACUUGUUUAUUUUGCAGGUGAGGAGACAACUAAAGGCUCAGAAAGGUUAAGAAGCUUGCUCUGGAUGUAUCAGAAUUUGAACACAGGGCUGGCUGACACAAGAACUCUUUCCAUGAUGCUCCACUACUUAUCUUAAUAUUGCUAUUAAUAUCUAAUAAUAUAUGCCUCAUAUUGUGUGCCUAUUAAGUGCCAGGCACUUGAUGGAUAUUUCUUUAAUCCCUUCAGCAACCCUGCAGGGUAUUAACCCUCCCCCAGACGUGCAAUAGCUCAAAACAGAUAGUAAGUGCCAACCCUGGUUUAUCCGGCUUCAAAACCUCCCUGCUCCAUUUGGCUACAUUUCCUGCUAAUUUAGUAGUGUACUGUCUUCGAUUGGAGACGUUAUUUGCCCUGAGGUCUGUGCUCCUCUACAUGCCUUUACAUCUCCAUCUUGUAGCUUUUUGGUUUGACUGCAGUGCUUAAAUAUAGAUUAUGGAUUUAACCAUAAUGCAAAUAUUUACUUUUACCAUGCAGUACUUAAACAAGAAUGUUGUGAACUCUUAGUUUAUCCACGAACUUUAUCACCCAGCUCAGAAGCCUUCAGAGUCUCCCCUGGCAGAAUAAAAGCAAAACUCAGCAGCUAGGUUCCUUCACAGUCUAGCUCUAAUGUGCAUGGCCACGAGGCUCCCAGAAUGCCCUGGGCUCCCUCCUGCAGGCUCCUGACCAUGCUCCUUCUGGGUUUUGCAGCUCAAUAGCCCCAGCGCCCAGCAGGAUGCUCAGCCCAAAGUGGC
rnacentral:lncRNA from 10 species